UACGUAGGGUGCGAGCGUUGUCCGGAAUUAUUGGGCGUAAAGGGUGCGUAGGUGGCCAGGUAAGUUCGGUGUGAAAGCUCGGAGCUUAACUCCGAAAUGUCAUUGAAUACUAUCUGGCUAGAGGGUCGGAGGGGAGACUGGAAUUCUCGGUGUAGCAGUGAAAUGCGUAGAUAUCAGUCGGAACACCGGUGGCGAAGGCGGCUUCUUGGGCCGUUCCUGACGCUGAGGCGCGAAAGCUGGGGGAGCGAACGGG
rnacentral:rRNA from 1 species